AUGGUUAGGGAUAUUUUAGGAAUGAAAUGAAAAGUUUAUUUUUUUGGUUGAUAGAAAAAUGACUUAUCCACCUCCUAGGUGGGUAAGGCUUUUCUUCCAAUUAGUGGAUAAAUACUAUCAAUAAAAAAAUAACUUAUCCUUCUAAGGAAGCAAAAGAACAUGGGUAAGUUAGUCAAUGAAAAAUAUGACUAACAUUUCUAUGAUAUUUAUCCACCAA
rnacentral:lncRNA from 1 species